ensembl:snRNA
AAAAAGGGCUUCUGUCGUUAAGUGGCACACGUAGGGCAUCUCCAUUGCUCUACGUGCAGAAUCGACAUCAAGAGACUUCGGAAGCGUACUUUUUGUUACGUGGGCUGCUAGUGAUCGUUGGUCCUGGAAAAAAA